UGAAAUAUAGCUCAGUGGUAGAGUGCCGUGCUUAGCAUGCAUGAGGAACUGGGUUCAAUCCCCAGUACUUCCA
rnacentral:tRNA from 1 species